rnacentral:rRNA from 1 species
AACGAACGUUAGCGGCGCGCCUAACACAUGCAAGUCGCACGAGAAAGGGCUUCGGCCCCGGUAAAGUGGCGCACGGGUGAGUAACACGUGGGUAACCUUCCCUCGAGCGGGGAAUAACAUUCCGAAAGGAGUGCUAAUACCGCAUAAGACCACGGCUUCGAAAGGAGCUGAGGUAAAAGCUGGCCUCUUCAUGAAAGCUAGCACUCGAGGAUGGGCCCGCGGCCCAUCAGCUUGUUGGUAGGGUAACGGCCUACCAAGGCUAAGACGGGUAACGGGUCUGAGAGGAUGAUCAGUCACACUGGAACUGGGACACGGUCCAGACUCCUACGGGAGGCAGCAGUGGGGAAUCUUGCGCAAUGGACGAAAGUCUGACGCAGCGACGUCGCGUGGGUGAUGAAGGCCUUCGGGUUGUAAAGCCCUGUGGGGAGAGACGAAUAAGUCUUGGCUAAUAUCCAAGAUGAUGACGGUAUCUCCUAGCAAGCACCGGCUAACUCUGUGCCAGCAGCCGCCGUAAAAC